GUCCUGUCCCGCGGCGCCGUCCGUGCACCCCGACGCCGCCGGCUUCCCUCCCGCCCCGCACCGCUGUCGUCUGGGCCGCCCCGCGCCGCCGUCGUCUCCAUCGGCGAGGUCCGCCGCUGUCUCCAUCGACGAGGUCCGCCGCUGUCUCCAUCGACGAGCUCUGCCCCGCCGCCGUGGACUCCCGCCAGAGGUGCUCACUCGGGGCAUUCCAUUUCUUGUUGCGUUCCACCACGGAGAAGCACCUGCCGUUUCUUGAAAUGUUUAGCUACUCGGCAAAUCUUUUUAUUUUUGGACCUAAAUUUCUUGGAUCGAGCUAUCUUAGACUCUGAUCUUAAGAAUCCCAUGCAGUUAAACUGUGGUCUGUCCAAGGUGCAAAUUAUGUUUUUCUAUCUCAAUCUUAGAUUGAGCUGUGAGCGAUACAGGAAAAACAUGGUCAGAGAAUGAACAAAAAUAUUGUGAUGAAUGGGUAUCAGGUCAACCUUCCUUAUGGGGGAACCCUUCCUUAUGCUGUUUCCAAAACCUAUCACUUAUACCAGUGCAGAUAUAAUUUAUGUCUUGUGUACAAACAUGUAGUGGAUAAACCUAGAGGCUGUAUGUUUGUCAUGCCAAUGCAGAGAUUGUAGGCUGACAAUGUACCCAUCCAUAAUGCUCCCAUUAGUAUUAGCAGCUCUUAUUUCUUUUCAUUGUCUGUUAUUGAUAUGGUAAACAUCUGCUAUUUUUCUUUGUCCCCUGCUUAGUAACUAAAAGCCCACUUUAUCUGUUUGAUGCAGGAGAAGCUUUAUGAAUGGAUCUUGAGGCAGCACGAAAACGGUUUGAGGCUGACAGUUGCUGAUAUAGCCUCCCACAUCCAGAUAUGCUAAUUUGCGGAGAAGGCUAUCAAUAGAUCCCCAUCUUUCCAACGAUGAAGAAGGUGCCCCUGACUUGAUUGUGGAGAAUCCACUCUCCCAGAUCCGCCGACAGACAUUUGAUCUACUUCGAGUUCAGUCAGCCCCUGGCCAACGUUGACCAUACUGGCAGCCUCAUCUACUUCCUCGUGCUCCCCCCCUCAAGCCAAGCAGUACAACAUCCUUUCAAGACGCGCGAAGCCAACUGAGCAG